AUGAACACUUCUCCAGCGAUAGUGACUGUGAUGCUUCUGUUCAUACUUGCAAGGACUCAUGGAUACUCAGUGACCCAGAAAAAAGAUCAAGUGACUCUCUCAGAAGACGACUUCCUAUUUAUAAACUGCACUUAUUCAACCACAGGGUACCCAACUCUAUUCUGGUAUGUCCAGUAUCCUGGAAAAGGUCUGGAGCUGCUUUUGAAAGUCACAACAGCCAACAACAAGGGAAGCAACAGAGGUUUUGAAGCUACAUAUGAUAAAGAAUCCACUUCCUUCCACUUACAGAAAGCUGCUAUCAAAGAGUCAGAUUCGGCUGUGUACUACUGUGCUCUGAGUGACACAGUGACACAAACUGCAGGGGGAGCUGAGCACAAACCCAGAGUAGCAAAAGAAAGUCUGGCUUCUGAUCAUCAUGGAAACAAUAAAGUCCUCAGUUGCCUUGAUCUUCAUAUACAAGUCAUUGACUUCAUAUUGUUGCAUGUUGCCUCUGGCUCAAGUUAUUCACAGAGAGCAAAAUACGCCAGAAAGGGUGGCAUCUAG